CCUACGGGAGGCAGCAGUGAGGAAUAUUGGUCAAUGGGCGCGAGCCUGAACCAGCCAAGUAGCGUGAAGGAUGACUGCCCUACGUGUUGUAAACUUCUUUUAUAAAGGAAUAAAGUCAGGCACGUGUGCCUGGUUGAGUGUACUUUAUGAAUAAGGAUCGGCUAACUCCGUGCCAGCAGCCGCGGUAAUACGGAGGAUCCGAGCGUUAUCCGGAUUUAUUGGGUUUAAAGGGAGCGUAGAUGGGUUGUUAAGUCAGUUGUGAAAGGUUGGGGCUCAACCGUAAAAUUGCAAUUGAUACUGGCAGUCUUGAGUACAGUUGAGGUAGGCGGAAUUCGUGGUGUAGCGGUGAAAUGCUGAGAUAUCACGAAGAACUCCGAUUGCGAAGGCAGCUUACUAAACUGCCACUGACAUUGAGGCUCGAAAGUGUGGGUAUCAAACAGGAUUAGAUACCCCGGUAGUC
rnacentral:rRNA from 1 species